GCCGGAGUAACUCAGCUGGUAGAGUAACUCAUUCGUAAUGAGUAAGUCGCGAGUCCGACUCUCGCCUCCGGCU
rfam:Candidatus Zambryskibacteria bacterium RIFCSPLOWO2_01_FTLL_45_43 rifcsplowo2_01_scaffold_9462, whole genome shotgun sequence.